AGAGUUUGAUCCUGGCUCAGAUUGAACGCUGGCGGCAUGCCUAACACAUGCAAGUCGAACGGUAACAGGUCUUCGGAUGCUGACGAGUGGCGGACGGGUGAGUAACGCGUAGGAAUCUGUCUUUGAGUGGGGGACAACCCAGGGAAACUUGGGCUAAUACCGCAUAAGCCCUGAGGGGGAAAGCGGGGGAUCUUCGGACCUCGCGCUGGAAGAGGAGCCUACGUCUGAUUAGCUAGUUGGUAGGGUAAAGGCCUACCAAGGCGACGAUCGGUAGCUGGUCUGAGAGGACGACCAGCCACACUGGGACUGAGACACGGCCCAGACUCCUACGGGAGGCAGCAGUGGGGAAUUUUUCGCAAUGGGGGCAACCCUGACGAAGCAAUGCCGCGUGAAUGAAGAAGGCCUUCGGGUUGUAAAGUUCUUUCGUGGAGAACGAAAAGGUGGGUGCUAAUAUCGCCUGCUGUUGACGUGAAUCCAAGAAGAAGCACCGGCUAACUCCGUGUCAGCAGCCGAGGUAAUACGGGGGGUGCAAGCGUUAAUCGGAAUCACUGGGCGUAAAGGGUGCGUAGGCGGUGCAUUAGGUCUGUCGUGAAAUCCCCGGGCUCAACCUGGGAAUGGCGGUGGAAACCGGUGUACUAGAGUAUGGGAGAGGGUGGUGGAAUUCCAGGUGUAGCGGUGAAAUGCGUAGAGAUCUGGAG
rnacentral:rRNA from 1 species